rnacentral:rRNA from 1 species
AUCCAUGGCCAGGUUGAAGGUGUGGUAACACACACUGGAGGACCGAACCGACUAGUGUUGCAAAAUUAGCGGAUGAGCUGUGGAUAGGGGUGAAAGGCCAAACAAAUCUGGAGAUAGCUGGUUCUCCCCGAAAACUAUUGAGGUAGUGCCUCGUGUGUCGCUCCAGGGGGUAGAGCACUGUUUUGGCUAGGGGGACAUGGAGUCUUACCAAACCAAGGCAAACUCCGAAUACCUGGAAGCGUGAGCACGGGAGACAGAGCACCGGGUGCUAACGUCCGGACUCAAAAGGGAAACAACCCAGACCGCCGGCUAAGGUCCCAAAUAACAGCUAAGUGGAAAACGAAGUGGAAAGGCCGUGACAACCAGGAAGUUGGCUUAGAAGCAGCCAUCCUUCAAAGAAAGCGUAAUAGCUCACUGGUCGAGUCCUUCUGCGCGGAAGAUGUAACGGGGCUAAGCUGUUAACCGAAGCCGCGGAUGCACUGGUUAUCCAGUGCGUGGUAGGGGAGCGUUCUGUAAGUCUGCGAAGGCGGUUCGAGAGGACUGCUGGAGAUAUCAGAAGUGCGAAUGCUGACAUGAGUAACGUUAAAGCAGGUGAAAAGCCUGCUCGCCGUAAGCCCAAGGAUUCCUGCUCUACGUUCAUCGGAGCAGGGUGAGUCGGCUCCUAAGGUCAGGCCGAAAGGCGUAGCCGAUGGGAAUCAGGUUAAUAUUCCUGAACCUGCGUCAGAUGCGAUGGGGGGACGGAGCAUGGAAGAUCAUCCGGGUGUUGGAAGUCCCGGUUGUUGAGCGUAGGAGGUCUGCAGGCAAAUCCGCAGACGCAUCUCCAAGGCAAAGACACGUGCCGCCACGGCGGCGAAGUGAUCGGAAGUGCUUCCAAGAAAAGCCUCUAAGCCCCAGUCUGAUGCGGACCGUACCGCAAACCGACACUGGUGGGCGAGCUGAAUAUGCUCAGGCGCUUGAGAGAACUCGGGAGAAGGAACUCGGCAAAUUGACACCGUAACUUCGGAAGAAGGUGUGCCGUAGUACCGUGAGAGGAGAGACACCUUGAGCGGGAAACGGUCUCAGAGAAUAGGUGGCUGCGACUGUUUAUUAAAAACACAGCACUCUGCAAAGUCGAAAGACGACGUAUAGGGUGUGAUGCCUGCCCGGUGCUGGAAGAUUAAUUGAUGGGGUGAGAGCCCUUGAUCGAAGUCCCAGUAAACGGCGGCCGUAACUAUAACGGUCCUAAGGUAGCGAAAUUCCUUGUCGGGUAAGUUCCGACCUGCACGAAUGGCAUAACGAUGGCCACACUGUCUCCUCC